rnacentral:rRNA from 1 species
CCCUUAGAUGUUCUGGGCGGCCCGCGCACUACAUUGGCACUAGCAAAGAGAUCCUAGAUUGAAUUCUUUGGGGUAUUCUUCUAAAUGGUGUCGUGACUGGGAUAAAUCCUUGUAAUUAUUGGUUUUGAACGAGGAAUUCCUUGUAAUCGCGGUUUAUCAGCUCGCGUUGAAUGCGUCCCUGCCCUUUGUACACACCGCCCGUCGCUCCUACCGAUGGAUCGUCCGGUGAAGCUCACGGAGUGACUGUUCACGCAACGGUUUACGAAGUGAAAUGGACCUCACGAUUUAGAGGAAGGAGAAGUCGUAACA